rnacentral:lncRNA from 1 species
CAUUGCUGUGUCUGCAGGGCUGGGGGCAACUCAAGACUCACAGGCAGGAUGAAGAACAGGCAAAUGGCUAUCGGCCCAGCCUCUCUGCCUUCACUGAAAGAAAGAAAUAUAUUCCAGAGAAAUCCUUGGGAACUUCCAGAUGUGGCUCGGACUGGGGCUCUGCUUCCUGCCGGGUGCUGGAGUCAGGCCUGCGUUGGGCCAGGGCCUCUGUGGCCUUAUGGGGACAGGGAUGGAGGGCGUAAGCCUGGCCACGGAGGCUGGUCAGGGUGGGCGGGGAGUGAGCCGGAGGUCCUGGCUAUUUGCAUUUGACCAGGGAAGCCCUAGCAGGGGAUUGUGAGAGAAGGGCAGGUUCCUGGCACUUCAUCACCAGAUCACCCAGGGCUGCCGCACUUCUUUUUCUGUGGAGCAAGCUCGCAUCUUGGUGGAUUAGAGGACAUGCGCAGGAUGCUCUGGGGAGCUCAGGAUGCAGGGACUUGAGGACAAUCUGGGGAAUCUGCAGGGCUGUGAAGCAAGAGGGGCAAGAGCAGAGGGCCAGAGAGGCCUUGGAGGAGAGUAGUGGGGGUCCCGGGGACCCACCACCACUGCUGUGCUGGGCUGCCAUUCACCAGUCCCCCGGCCCUCCAGGAUGGUAGCCUAGUCCUCUCUCUCUGCACUUUGAAUUCCGAAGGCUGUUUCCCUCUGGAGGGAUUCAGGUACGAAGUGUCGUGAGGACGACUUUGGACUUUGUUAGUUAUUAGUUGGUAAUAUACAUUUGGAUUUUUCCCCAUCAGUCUGCUUCAGAUGUUUGUCCUUGUAGUUUGCCUAGUGUGAAGAGGGCUGCUAUGGCCUGUGUCCCCAAAUCUCUAUGUUGAAACCUUAACCCCAGGUGAUGUUACAGGAGGUGGGGGUUUUUGGUCACAGGGGUGGAGGCCUCACAGAGGCAUUAGUGCCCUUGUCAGAUGGUCCCAAGGGGGCUCAGUCACCCCUUCCGCCACGUGAGGACGGGGGAGAGGGAUGUGAGCAGGAGAACAGGGCUGACUGGAUGCCAGAUCUGUGGGCUUGCAGCUCCCGGAUGAGGACCAGCAAGCACUCAUGUUUACAGACCACCUAGUUGUUAGUGUUCUGAAGCAGCCUGAGCAGCUGAGGUAAGGCUCUGUUUGCAUAACUUUGUAAAGUGAAAGCAGCUCCAUGUUGAGUUUGUCUACUCCUCGGCAACUUGGCAAUUAAUGAGUACUGAUCCUAAAAUUUCCUCUACUGUAACUGAAUUCUAUGUUGUUAGCCAAAGACAAAACUGUAUGACUCGAUACCAAAUGUCUUUUUCCCCUCCUGAUUAAGGAAUGUUUUUAUUUGGAAAGCCUCUCAGAGACAUGGAAAUAAUAGUCGUUUUCUGUAUUGCAAACCCUCUGGUGAGAGAGUCAUGCCACGAUAAGAUUGACAGUGUCCCCCAGCCUGGGUCACAAUAGCUUCGCUGACCAUGAGUGCAUAUGGCGGUUUGAUUGUUUUAACACAAAUGAAUGAUCUGUGAUAUCAAUCAAGCAAAAAUAUGAAUAUUUCCUAUUCUAAUAAAUUGAAGUUGGUGUUUUGGUAGA